UAUUUGCGUCGUCGGCCAUGUUGUUCAUUUCUCAUCCGCUUCUUUUUGGAAGUUGAUCCUUUUUGUUGGCUAUUGAAUCAUACUAAGUUAACUACAGUAUGUUGAAAUUCACCAUAUUUUACAUGACCUCAAAUAUAAGCAAAACYUCUCUACUACCAUGGUAAACCUAGGGCCUGAUCACUGAAAUGCAAAGUGGGGAAGAUUGCCCGGACAGGUGCGACAAAGGUGACUUGAUGGGACACAACACAUAGCAAAUCCAAACCUUACCUCUUGGCUGAAACUAAAUAGAAAUGAAAAAAAAGAAAAGUUGAAAGAAAGCAAUGGUCAGUACUAAUUUUCAAGGGGGGCCUAUUCGCUGAACCUAAACCACCCGGCAAGGAAUUAACAAGUAACAUACUCAUUAAAGAGGACUGGUCCAAUGUAUCGCGAGGGCAAAACCAUACAAAGGACCAUCAGUCAUCAGCUUGGAGUUAGAUCCMUUUUGUCGAUGAUGAUGAGAAGAUGACAGAUGAUGAUGGUGGUACCUGAUCCCACUGCGAGGUCGUGCUUCUUCCCUMUAUUCAUUAAACGGGCAAGAAGGYGUGUCUCAUGAAACCAAGGGWWACAAGAGACAUCACCAACAAACCACAGAUAAUAAAUACAGGUCCCAAGUGCACUGCCUCAAUGAUGAGUAUGAAACUGCAAUUCCUCAACUAACAGCUUAUAUCUUGGCUGGAAAAGAUGAUAUUUUACCGUGAAAGCUGAUCAUAUUUAUAAUAAAGUUCUUAGCCGUAAAAAUCUGAAAACUUAAACAGACAUCAAGUUUAAAUAACAAAAAAACUUAACCCACACCGAUUAACUCCCAAGAAAUGGUUAAUUAAGUUAUUAAACCCAAUGUCUGCAAAAAGGAAUUUAGAUAUGCAUUUUCACUGCUGGAAGAAGAGCAAAGAGGACAUUUUUAUCGGCAAACUAUCUGACAUGCACCCAUGAUAACAAUAUCCUGACUGUGCUGCAUACUACAAGCCAAGCCUAACAUUAGGAUGUGAGGUCCCUCUUCACUGAGUUAGAAUUAAGAAAAUAAACAAAAACCCUUUGCACUUUUGCCAGCAGGUUUUGCCAAGAUAAAGCCCCUAAAACAUUUCUUAAAACAUGCCCAAAAAUAAAAUAAAAAUCUCAUAAAAAAAGAAAAAGCGAUUGAAGAAAAAAUUCUGAAGGGAGGGAAGACUAAACACUGGACUGUAGUAAUAAGCAAAAAAUAAACCUGCAUGCAGCGUUGCAGACCAUUGCUGCACGAGUCUUCA